UGUUUUACAUCAAUUCUACUAGGUUGCAUCAAUCUGCCCCUGCACGCUGGCAGGAGGAACUUCUUGCAUGGCAGAUGCAUUACUCAAAUUAGAAUGGCAGAUGCAUGCAACAUGAAACAUUAAUGUCGCAGGGACAAAAUCAUUUCCAAUUGGUCUCAGCUUCAUUUCUUGAAUACUUAUGAGCUUGCAAAGAUGUGAUUCGGCCUGAGCUGAGCCAACAUGCCUCGUAUUCUGUUUUUGGGGCUAGCUUGAAUAUUCUCAGCAUGGCCAACUAUCCACAACGUGCUCUAGUUUUAGGUCCAGGUGCACUAGCAUCCUUGAUUGCACUAGUAACUGGAUUGGAUAUAAAAUAUGGUUUGUGUUAUGUUAGUUGCCAAUGCAAUGCUUAAUAUUGGUUGUGAA